rnacentral:rRNA from 1 species
GAUGAACGCUGGCGGCGUACUUAACACAUGCAAGUCGAACGAAGCACUUUGGACAGAAUCUUCGGAUGAAGUCCUUAGUGACUGAGUGGCGGACGGGUGAGUAACGCGUGGGUAACCUGCCUCAUACAGGGGGAUAACAGUUAGAAAUGGCUGCUAAUACCGCAUAAGCGCACGGUACUGCGUGGUACAGUGUGAAAAACUCCGGUGGUAUGAGAUGGACCCGCGUUGGAUUAGCUAGUUGGCAGGGUAACGGCCUACCAAGGCGACGAUCCAGAGCCGGCCUGAGAGGGUGGACGGCCACAUUGGGACUGAGACACGGCCCAGACUACUACGGGAGGCAGCAGUGGGGAAUAUUGCACAAUGGGGGAAACCCUGAUGCAGCGACGCCGCGUGAGCGAAGAAGUAUUUCGGUAUGUAAAGCUCUAUCAGCAGGGAAGAAAAUGACGGUACCUGACUAAGAAGCCCCGGCUAACUACGUGCCAGCAGCCGCGGUAA